GACGAACGCUGGCGGCGUGCUUAACACAUGCAAGUCGAACGAUGAAGAAAAGAAUUGAAGCUUCGGCAGAAAUUCAUUUCGGAUUAGUGGCAGACGGGUGAGUAACGCGUGAGCAACCUACCUCUUACAAAGGGAUAGCCUCGGGAAACCGGGAUUAAUACCAUAUAACAUUGCGACGAAGCAUUUCGAUGUAAUCAAAGCUACGGCGGUAAGAGAUGGGCUCGCGUCCCAUUAACCAGAUGGUGAGGUAACGGCUCACCAUAGUAACGAUGGGUAACCGGCCUGAGAGGGUGAACGGUCACACUGGAACUGAGACACGGUCCAGACUCCUACGGGAGGCAGCAGUGGGGAAUAUUGCACAAUGGAGGGAACUCUGAUGCAGCGACGCCGCGUGAGUGAUGAAGGAAUUCGUUUCGUAAAACUCUGUUCUAUGGGAAGAAAAGGACUGUACCAUAGGAGAAAGCUCCGGCUAAAUACGUG
rnacentral:rRNA from 1 species